GUUGUACCAUUCUGGGCCCCAGCUUCCACCAAAUAUCGGGACCCCAGCCCUGGAAACCAACCCCCAAAUUGCUCUCCCUCCUCUAGGAAAAAGAUAAUUUAUCUCCCACUUUGACUCUGUGGUCCCACCCCUUCUCUUCUCUUGUCUAGACUUCCAAGUGCUGGCCUUCAUCUCCCCGCAAGAUGCGCCCCCUCCAACUCUCAGCCUUCAUCUUCCUACUGUCACUGUCUCCUUCACAAGGAGAGCAGCAAGAGAAAGAAAGAGAGAGGCAAGCGAAAUUCCUGAAUGGAUAGACAGAUGCUACGUCAUCGGAGCUGCAUCCUCCACUCCACAAGAGGCUAGGAGCUGGGGGGAGAGAGGCAGUCCAGCCGCAGGGGCCACCCGAACAGUCUCUCCUCCUCACAGAAGCCUGGAGCUGGGCAUCCAAGAAGAAGCAGCCUCAUUUGUUUUCUGGUGUCAUCGUAGGUGGCCACCUAUGGCUUUUGGGACCAAAAAGAAGAAUGUACUUCAUCUGGUUGGGCUGGAUUCCCUCUGAUAAGCCUUCCCAGUUGACUGAAAGAUGAGGCUAGGCUCUAGCAAGUUGAAGUCAAACCAGCUCCUUCAAGAAGCUUUGAGCAGAAUGAAGUGGGGAGGACCCAGCUUCCAGCCCAGGAAGCCCACUGUACCUGGAGCCAUCUGGGAUAAGACUUUGACCCAUGACUCCCAUAUCCACAGCCUGUCCAUCCUAGCCCAUCCCAGUUUAUCCUGUAUCAUUUGAGCUGGGAUUCCCACAUCCUCUGAGUUGGAAGUCCCAUCUCAAGUCUUCAAUAAAGACUCUUGAAUAUUGAAUCACAUUAA
rnacentral:lncRNA from 1 species